rnacentral:rRNA from 1 species
GAUGAACGCUGGCGGCGUGCCUAAUACAUGCAAGUCGAGCGAACGGACGAGAAGCUUGCUUCUCUGAUGUUAGCGGCGGACGGGUGAGUAACACGUGGAUAACCUACCUAUAAGACUGGGAUAACUUCGGGAAACCGGAGCUAAUACCGGAUAAUAUUUUGAACCGCAUGGUUCAAAAGUGAAAGACGGUCUUGCUGUCACUUAUAGAUGGAUCCGCGCUGCAUUAGCUAGUUGGUAAGGUAACGGCUUACCAAGGCAACGAUGCAUAGCCGACCUGAGAGGGUGAGCGGCCACACUGGAACUGAGACACGGUCCAGACUCCUACGGGAGGCAGCAGUAGGGAAUCUUCCGCAAUGGGCGAAAGCCUGACGGAGCAACGCCGCGUGAGUGAUGAAGGUCUUCGGAUCGUAAAACUCUGUUAUUAGGGAAGAACAUAUGUGUAAGUAACUGUGCACAUCUUGACGGUACCUAAUCAGAAAGCCACGGCUAACUCCGUG